UCCAAUGUGGUGUAGUGGUUAACAUUGCUGUCUUUCAUGGUCCACACAGCAGCCCGGGGUUCGAUUCCCCGCAUUGGAA